UAUCCGUAGGUGAACCUGCGGAUGGAUCAUUAAGAGGUUAGCAAAACAACCCUGUUUUCGCCAAACCACUGUGGUGUUAUGAGUGUUGUUUUGGCGGUGAUGUUGCGUGUGCAAACACGCAUGCGCCGCCGACAUUAAACUAUAUCAAUUAUUUAACCUAUUCAGCUGUUCUGAUUACACUAUUUCGAUAGAAUAAUCCUAUACAACUGCUAGCAACGGAUCACUCGGCUCUCGCAUCGAUGAAGAACGUAGC
rnacentral:misc_RNA from 1 species